GCCCCUGUAGCUCAAAGGACAGAGCAGCGGACUUCUAAUCCGUUGGUUGUGCGUUCGAGUCGCACCAGGGGCA
rnacentral:tRNA from 2 species